rnacentral:rRNA from 1 species
AGAGUUUGAUCCUGGCUCAGAUUGAACGCUGGCGGCAUGCUUUACACAUGCAAGUCGAACGGCAGCACGGGCUUCGGCCUGGUGGCGAGUGGCGAACGGGUGAGUAAUGCGUCGGAACGCGCCGAGUAGUGGGGGAUAACGCAGCGAAAGCUGUGCUAAUACCGCAUACGUACUGAGGUAGAAAGUGGGGGACCUUCGGGCCUCACGCUACUCGAGCGGCCGACGUCUGAUUAGCUAGUUGGUGGGGUAAAGGCUCACCAAGGCGACGAUCAGUAGCGGGUCUGAGAGGAUGAUCCGCCACACUGGGACUGAGACACGGCCCAGACUCCUACGGGAGGCAGCAGUGGGGAAUUUUGGACAAUGGGCGCAAGCCUGAUCCAGCCAUGCCGCGUGUCUGAAGAAGGCCUUCGGGUUGUAAAGGACUUUUGUCCGGGAGCAAAGCCUACUUGUUA